GGUCAGUGAUGAACAGUAAAAGGUCUGAUUUCCCACAAUCCUCUCCUGCUGCCCCCUGGCUCCCAGCAGCCCCUUCACUCUUUCUGUUCCCAUCAUGCUCUAGUGGUGCAGUGGUGGUCCUAGAAGCUGCUGACAGACAGGAAGUCACAUCACAGUGUCUAUACAUAGAUCCUAUAGGCUCAGUGUGAUGGCUGACAUCCAACAGAACCAAUCAGCACGGAGCGUCAGGCUGAGGAGGAGGAGGGAGCUGAUCUCAAGUUUUCAACCUGAGACC
ensembl:scaRNA